AUUGAACGCUGGCGGCAUGCCUUACACAUGCAAGUCGAACGGUAACAGGUCUUCGGAUGCUGACGAGUGGCGAACGGGUGAGUAAUACAUCGGAACGUGCCUAGUAGUGGGGGAUAACUACUCGAAAGAGUGGCUAAUACCGCAUGAGAUCUACGGAUGAAAGCAGGGGAUCGCAAGACCUUGUGCUACUAGAGCGGCCGAUGGCAGAUUAGGUAGUUGGUGGGAUAAAAGCUUACCAAGCCGACGAUCUGUAGCUGGUCUGAGAGGACGAUCAGCCACACUGGGACUGAGACACGGCCCAGACUCCUACGGGAGGCAGCAGUGGGGAAUUUUGGACAACGGGCGAAAGCCUGAUCCAGCAAUGCCGCGUGCAGGAUGAAGGCCUUCGGGUUGUAAACUGCUUUUGUACGGAACGAAAAGCCCCGGGUUAAUACCCUGGGGUCAUGACGGUACCGUAAGAAUAAGCACCGGCUAACUUCGUGCCAGCCGCCGCGGUAA
rnacentral:rRNA from 1 species